UCCGUUAACCUCCAAGAUGUGUGGGCAGAGUCCAAGGGCCGGUAGAGACCCAGCCACUGACCAGUCUGGGGUUGAGCUGACCCAGGGGCAGAUAGAUGCUGGAUAGAGUGUGCCUGCUAAACCUUUGCACCUCUGAAAUCAGCAGGCCCCUGAAGCCCUCUGCACCCCAACCUUCCCUUGCCCAGCCUUGUUGGAUGGAGUCCUGAGUGACAGAAGGGGCCAUUCCUUCCUUCAUUGGCAGGGACGCAGUGCAUAGCCGGGGGUGCAGGACCCCGAGGAUUCCUGUCACAUGCAGGAAGGAGAGAGAGCAGGUCACCCUCAUAGAACAUGGGGAGGAGGAGACAGUAAGAUUUUUGGGUGUGAAGCAGACCCCUGUCUUUACUCUGUGUGACCGGAGCCUAUCCCUGUCCUGGAGCCACAUGGAGAUCGAUUCCUCAAACCAGUACCAACAUUCUCCAGCCCAGCUGUGAAAGACCAAGAAUGGCUGAACAGAGCAUUCAUUGGGCUUGUGAUAUGGCUCAGGGGGUCAAGGCGCUUGCUGCCAAUCCUGAGGACCUGAGUUUGAUCCCUGGAACCUUCAUGGUGGGAGAGCCGACUACUGAGAGUUAUCCACAUGGAUCAGACACACAC